UUUAGCGCAUUUUUACUUUGGUAUCGUGCUAUUAAAAAGUUAUACUUAACUAUUCUAUGAUUUAACAUAUUUUCACUUUGUCACCUUGUGAUUCAAAAGUGACACUCAACUAUUAUGUGAUUUUAUUUUUUUCACAAUAAGAAUCUAUCUUUUAAAAGGAUACUAUCUUAUUAUUUUUUUAAAAAAUAUUUUAUUAUCUCAUUUGAAAGCUGAUUUUUUCUAUGAAAUAAAAAUAAAACUAUAAAAUAAUUAAGUAUAACUUUUUAAACCACGUGGAGUCAAAGUGAGUCUUCCCUAUUAUUUUUUAUUAACACCAAUUUAGCCUUUUUGUUAUUUUAAAUUGAGUUGCUGGAUUAAACUGAAGAUCUAUAGUUGAAUACAUAGGAAUGGUUCAACUUGUAGCCAACAAAAUAUGUAGUUCAAUUGGUUGGAAAAUAAUGGGAAUGGUUCAAUUUAAUAGAAUUUCUAUUGAAUUUAAGAAAUGAUUUAAUUUUAUUGGUAGAAAUAA
rnacentral:lncRNA from 1 species